AUGGCGACGCGGAUCUCGCCAAUGGCCGCGGUGAUGGCACUGCUGCUGGCCUCACUGGUUGCGCUAUCCUCGGCGCACGACGGACACCACCACGCGCCGGUUGAAGCGCUGAGCCCUAGUUACCAUGGUCUGGCGUCGGCGCCUGCUGCCUCUUCCGGUGACCACCACCAUGGUCACCAGGCUCCAGCGCCGAGCCCUAGUCACCAUCAUCGUCAUCAUCAUGGUCCGGCGUCGGCCCCUGCUCCUGCUCACGGUCACCACCAUCAUGGUUACCACACUCCAGCUCAUCACCAUGGUCCGGCGGUGCUGCCCUCUCCUGCUCACGGUGACCACCACCAUGGUCACGAUGCUCCAUCACCGAGCCCUAGUCACCAUAAUCAUCAUCAACAUGGUCCGUCACCGGCGCCUGCUCCAGCUCACGAUGCUCACCACGCUCCAGCGCCGAGCGCUAGUCACCAUCAUCAUCAUGGGCCGUCAUCGGCUCCUGCUCCCGCUCACGGUGACCACCACCAUGGUCAUGACGCUCCAGCGCCGAGCCCUAAUCAGCAUCAUCAUCAUCACCAUGGUCCGUCGUCAGCGCCUACUCCCGCUCACAAUGGUCACCAUGCUCCGGCGCCAAGCCCUACUCACCAUCAACAUCACCAUCAUCGUCAUCACCAUGGUCCAGCAUCGGCGCCUGCUCCCGCUCACGGCGACCACCGCCAUGGUCACCACGCUCCACCGCCGUCGCCUAUCCACGUCGCCCCAGCUCCUGCACCCAGCCAGAACUCCCAAGCGCCGUCAGCAGCCUCUGGAGACUACUACCACUCCCCAGCUCCAGCGCCUGGUCCGGCAAGUUCUUCUUUCCGCCACACAGUCACCGGCGGAGUUGGUCUAGUCGCCGCGGCUGCAGUGUCCGCCGUUUUGCUUCUUCUUUAG
rnacentral:rRNA from 1 species